AAGCGGAGGAAAAGAAACCAACAGGGAUUGCCCCAGUAACGGCGAGUGAAGCGGCAAGAGCUCAAAUUUGAAAUCUGGCCUCCUUCGGGGGUCCGAGUUGUAAUUUGUAGAGGAUGCUUCGGGUGUGGCCGCCGUCUAAGUUCCUUGGAACAGGACGUCAGAGAGGGUGAGAAUCCCGUCUUGGGCGGCUGGUCCGCGCCCGUGUGAAGCUCCUUCGACGAGUCGAGUUGUUUGGGAAUGCAGCUCUAAGCGGGUGGUAAAUUUCAUCUAAAGCUAAAUACUGGUCGGAGACCGAUAGCGCACAAGUAGAGUGAUCGAAAGGUUAAAAGCACCUUGAAAAGGGAGUUAAACAGCACGUGAAAUUGUUGAAAGGGAAGCGCUUGCGGCCAGACUCGGGGGCGGGGUUCAGCGGGUGCUCGUCGCCCGUGCACUCCCCGUCUCCCGGGCCAGCAUCAGUUUCGACGGCCGGUCAAAGGCCCCCGGAAUGUGUCGUCUCUCGGGACGUCUUAUAGCCGGGGGUGCAAUGCGGCCCGUUGGGACUGAGGAACGCGCUCCGGCUCGGAUGCUGGCGUAAUGGCCGUAAGCGGCCCGUCUUGAA
rnacentral:rRNA from 1 species